rnacentral:tRNA from 1 species
GCGGGCGUAGUUCAGUGGUAGAACGUCAGCUUCCCAAGCUGAAUGUCGUGGGUUCGAGUCCCAUCACCCGCU